rnacentral:rRNA from 1 species
UACGUAGGGUGCGAGCGUUGUCCGGAAUUAUUGGGCGUAAAGAGCUUGUAGGCGGUCUGUCGCGUCGGCUGUGAAAACUCGGGGCUCAACCCCGGGUCGGCAGUGGAUACGGGCAGGCUAGAGGUAGGUAGGGGAGAAUGGAAUUCCCGGUGUAGCGGUGAAAUGCGCAGAUAUCGGGAGGAACACCGGUGGCGAAGGCGGUUCUCUGGGCCUUACCUGACGCUGAGGAGCGAAAGCGUGGGGAGCGAACAGG